GCCGAGGUGGCGGAAUUGGUAGACGCGCUGGCUUCAGGUGCCAGUGGGGGAAACCCCGUGGAGGUUCAAGUCCUCUCCUCGGCACCA
rnacentral:tRNA from 5 species